UACGGAGGGUGCAAGCGUUAUCCGGAUUUAUUGGGUUUAAAGGGUGCGCAGGCGGGAUAGUAAGUCAGUGGUGAAAUCCUACAGCUCAACUGUAGAACUGCCAUUGAUACUGCUAUUCUUGAGUACAGUUGAAGUGGGCGGAAUGUGUUGUGUAGCGGUGAAAUGCAUAGAUAUGACACAGAACUCCGAUCGCGAAGGCAGCUCACUAAGCUGUAACUGACGCUGAGGCACGAAAGCGUGGGGAGCGAACAGG
rnacentral:rRNA from 1 species